rnacentral:rRNA from 1 species
GAGUACAGUGGCGUACGGGUGAGUAACACGUGGAUAAUCUACCCUCUAGUGGGGAAUACCGUUGGGAAACCGACGACAAUACCGCAUAAGCUCGAGAGAGGAAAGCAGCAAUGCGCUGGAGGAGGAGUCCGCGGCUGAUUAGCUAGUUGGUGAGGUAAUGGCUCACCAAGGCUUAAAUCAGUAGCCGGCCUGAGAGGGCACACGGCCACACUGGCACUGAAACACGGGCCAGACUCCUACGGGAGGCAGCAGUGGGGAAUCUUGCACAAUGGGGGAAACCCUGAUGCAGCGACGCCGCGUGAGCGAUGAAGCCCUUCGGGGUGUAAAGCUCUUUCGGCAGGGAAGAUUAUGACGGUACCUGCAGAAGCAGCUGCGGCUAACUACGUGCCAGCAGCCGCGGUAAUACGUAGGCAGCAAGCGUUGUUCGGAGUUACUGGGCGUAAAGGGUGUGUAGGCGGUUGGAUAAGUGUGGUGUGAAAUCUCCCGGCUCAACUG